rnacentral:rRNA from 1 species
CGUGGCUAACCUGCCCUUGGGACAGAGACACCCCCGGGAAACUGGGGCUAAUCCCUGAUAGGUGAAGAACUCUGGAAUGAGUCUUCACCCAAAAGACGCCUAGGCCACGCUUCUAGGCGCCGCCCAAGGAUGGGGCCGCGACCGAUCAGGUUGUUGGUGAGGUAACGGCCUACCAAGCCUUUUACCGGUACGGGCCGUGAGAGCGGGAGCCCGAAGAUGGGCACUGAGACAAGGGCCCAGGUCCUACGGGGCGCAGCAGUCGCGCAAACUUUGCAAUACACGAAAGUGUGACAGGGCUAUCCCGAGUGCCGUCCGCUGAGGGUGGCUUUUACCCAGUCUAGAAGGCUGGGAGAAUAAGGAGAGGGCAAGUCUGGUAUCAGCCGCCGCGGUAAUACCAGCUCUCCGAGUGGUGUGGAUGUUUAUUGGGCCUAAAGCAUCCGUAGCUUGCUGAUCAAGUCCCCUGUUAAACCCAACGAAUCAAUCGUUGGAUUGCGGGGGAUACUGCUCGGCUAGGGGACGGGAGAGGCCGACGGUAUUUUCGGGGUAGGGGUGAAAUCCUAUAAUCCCGAGAGGACCACCAGUGGCGAAGGCUGUCGGCUAGAACGCGCCCAACGGUGAGGGAUGAAAGCUGGGGGAGCGAACCGGAUUAGAUACCCGGGUAGUCCCAGCUGU